rnacentral:misc_RNA from 1 species
CUGAACGAUUUUGGGUUAAAUCCCCAUCUAAAAAAAAAAAAGAAAAAAAAAAUACCUUUUUUUUUAUUCUUUCCUUUCUUUUCUUUUUUAAUUAAUGAUAGGCAGCUCUGUCUCUAUCAGUGCCACUGCCACAACGCGUCCUUAACUCUUUUUUCUUUGCUUUUUUUUUUUUGUUUUUUAUCCGACAGUUUAUCGUUAGGAUGCCGGAUAUACGUCGUCAAAGUCGAAGCCUGUAAAAUUUUUCCUUUGUUAUCCCAUUUUCAAUGUUUUCAAGCACGCAUUAUUAAACAAUUUGUCAUCUUCCACUUCCGGUACUUCCCAAGGGAAAAAGACUUCCUUUCAUGUGUUUUUUACUAUAUUGCCAAAUAUUCAGAUUUGGCUUCUUUCCCCUCUUUUUUGGGUUCACCAAUUUGUUCUUGUCGUGCUCUGUUGUUGAUUUGAGCGUCCCUUCUCUUGGGUGCUUUUUGCAACAAUGGGUACUCAGCUCCAUCACAACUUGGUUCAAACCCCCACCAGUAAUGGCAAGCACCUCAAAAAAUGGCGCCUAGCCUUUGAUGCCAUCUUUUUUUCCAGAACAUUGCUCUAUGUUGCCAAAAACGCUGUAAAACAGCAGUUAAAUGGCAGACUAUUGCGCACUCUGUCCUACACGGCAAUUGAUAUCAAGACACAGACUGAGCACUUUGAUAAAGUAAGUCUCUCCAAGCUUGUGGAGGAGGAAAAUCUUGACCAACUUAGAAGUUUUGGUGGGGUUGAUGGUGUUGUUGCAGCCCUGAAAAGUGAUGCAAAGAAUGGAAUCAGAGAUGAUCAUGCAGAUGUUUUCAAUCGACAAAUGACCUUUGGUUCAAACACGUAUGAAAGGCCACCAGCAAAAAGCUUGUUCUACUUUGUGUUAAAGGCCUUCAAAGAUCCCAUGAUCGUCCUUGCGGUUGUGUGCAGUGCCUUUUCUCUUGGGUUUGGUAUUAGAAAGCAUGGACUGACAAAAGGAUGGAGUGACGGAGGCAGCAUAUUUCUCGCUAUUUCUAUAGUUAUCAUGGCAUCUUCUGUCAGCAACUACUGGCCCAACAGACAAUUCAACAAGAUGUCCCAAAUCAGUUACACUAUGAAGGUGGAAGUUGUCAGGAGUGGGUGGAGGCAGCAUAUCCCAGUUGAUCAAAUUGUGGUAGGAGAUGUUGUUUGUCUAAGGAUUGGGGAUAAAAUUCCCGCUGAUGGGUUGUUCUUACACGGCCAUUCAUUAUCAAUUGAUAAAUCAAGCCUGACAAUGAACACUGACAUCGUGGCUGUUAACUGUCAUCUGAAUCCCUUUUUGUGGUCUGGCUCUAUGGUGGCAGAUGGGUAUGCCCUGAUGCUUGUCACAUCUGUUGGCAUGAACACAAAAUGGGGCAAGAUGCUUAGCACAAAAUGGAAAGAUCCACAUGAAACGACACCUGUACAGGCCCGGCUGCAAGCAAUAACUUCUUUAACCGUUAAAGUUGGCUUGAUGGUAGCUUCAUUGGUUUUCUUGGUGUGGUUGGUUCAUUACUUCAAGGGGGAAAUGAGAAACGGAUAUGUGCCAGGCAAGACAGAAUUUCAUGAAGUUAUCUGUGAGAUGGUUGGAAUACUAGCCACUGUAAUUGCUAUUGCAGCAGGAGCAGUUGCAGAGGGCUUACCAUUGGCUGUUGUAAUCACUCUUGCUUAUUCAAUGAAGAGUAUGACAAAUAAUCACACUAUUGUCAGAAAACAUUCAGCCUGUGAGGCAAUAGCCUCAGCCACCACCAUCUGCACAAAAUUGAAUCAGAUGGCAGUAACAAAGUUUUGGUUAGGGCAAGGAUUCAUUGAACAAGGUGCCUACUCACAAGUUGCACCAACCAUCAUUGAAUUGCUCCACCAAGCAGUUGGUCUACACACAACUCAAAACUCUUCAAAAGUUUCCUCAUUCAUUUGGACUCCAACAGAAAAGGCGAUCAUUUGUUGGGCCAUCCAGGAGAUGGGCAUGAAUACUCGGGAAUUGAAAGAAACCUGCAGCAUUCUACAUGGUGAAGCAUUUGAUUCAUCGAAGACACGUGGUGGGUUUUUGAUGAAGAAGAAUAAUGAUAAUAAAAUCCAUGUGCACUGGAAAGGGACACCAGAGGCUAUACUAGCCAUGUGUUCACAAUAUUAUGACACAACAGGGAUUGUCAAAGCCAUUGAUUAUGAUACAAGGGAGAAACUGAAUCACGUAGCUCAAGUAAUGGCAACUGAUGGACUUCAAUGCGUUGCUUUUGCACAUAAAAAAACUUCCAUAGAUCUUUAUGAAAAUGGAAUGGAUCGAUUAAUAGAAGAUGAUUGCUUGGCAUUCAUAGGAUUAGUUGGUGUAAAGGAUCUAUGCCAACCUGGGGUUCAAAAAGCUGUAGCAGAUUGCCAAUAUGCUGGAGUGAACAUCAAAAUGGUAACAAGAGAUGGAGUUUUAGUUGCAAGAGCUAUAGCAACUGAAUGUGGCAUACUCAAGCCUGAACAAAGCAUGGAGAGUGAAGUAGUAGAAGGGGCAGAAUUUCAAAAUUACACAGAAGAGGAGAGAAUGGCAAAGGUUGAUAAAAUUCGUGUGAUGGCAAGUGCCUCUCCUUCUGACAUUCUUCUUAUGGUGAAAUAUUUAAGACAAAAAGGCCACAUAGUGGCAGUUAUUGGUACUGACACAGAGGAUGCAGCUGCUUUGAGGGAAGCUGAUAUAGGCAUCUCUAUGGGGAUUCAGGCCGCUGAGGUAGCCAAAGAGAGCUCUGACAUAGUCAUAUUGGUUGAUGAUUUUGUUUCUGUUGUCAAUGUUUUGAAAUGGGGGAGAACUAUGUUUAACCAAAUCCAGAUAUUUGCUCAGUUCCAGCUCACACUGAGCAUUACUUCACUAGCGAUUGACUUUGUGACAGCACUUUCAGCUAGUGAGCCACCAACCAUCAAAAUUGUAGCUGCUAUCUCAUCCGGAGAAAUCCCAUUUGCAGCUCUACAAGUUUUGUGGGUGAAGCUAAUCAUGGGUACAUUGGCUGCUCUGGCUCUUGCUACAGGGCAACCCUCCAAGGAGCUCAUGAAGUGUCCAGUGGAUGGAAAACCUCUUAUAACCAACAUCAUGUGGAGAAACAUAUUAGCUCAAGCUAUCUACCACAUAGCUAUCCUAUUGACCAUACAGUUCAAGGGCAAAGCAAUCUUCGGCGUGAAUGAGGAGGUAAAAGACACUAUGAUGUUCAAUACUUUUGUUCUUUGUCAAGUAUUUAAUAAAUUCAAUGCAAGAGAGCUAAAGAAGAAGAACAUCUUUAAGAGGAUACACAAGAACAAAUUGUUUGUAGGCAUCAUAGGGGCAAUAAUUAUUCUUCAAGUCGUGAUGGUGGAAUUUCUAAAGAGGUUUGCUGGUACAGAGAGGCUGAAUUGGGGGCAAUGGGGUGCUAGCAUUGGAAUCGCAGCUAUGUCAUGGCCAGUUGCUUGGUAUGUCAAGUGGAUACCUGUCCCAAACAAACCAUUUUUUAACUAUCUAAAGUGGAAGAAUUAGGACUUAGAAAUACAGUUAGUAAUCCUUAGGGUUUGGUAUAUAGUUUUGUGAUAAAUUCUAGAGUUCUAUUAGCAUUUGAUAGUGCACUUGUUCGCUAAUAAAAUAUGAUUUAGAUUUUGUACGGUUUCAUAAAUAUAUAAUUUUGUUUCCUCCAAUUAGGGCAGCUUUUACAACGUUAUAUCCUUUUGUUGGGACAAAAGCAAGGCAAGGAUAGAAAAGAAGCAGAUUUUCAUGAACAAUUAGUUCUAGCGGCAUGUAUCUAUAUGAUUAUUCCUACUAGCUAGAAUAAAGAUCAGUUGCCAAACCAAUUGUAGCACAGCAUGUUGGUAAGAGCUAGCAUCUAUUAAUUCAGAGUACAAAAGGAUGAGACCAACGAACAAGAAUAGCAAACAAUGGAAGAAUAAAAUUUAAUUCUUGCAAUAUUUACCUAAUUUAAUUAUCAGCAGACCAAUGGCAACCCAAAACAAUCAACAAGAAUGAAGAAACCAUUAUUUGUUGCACCAAAACUAGCCCAGCUCUUAAGAUAAUGGCAAAUAAUAGGUGCAAAACCAAAAGCAUGACAAGAAACAAAAAACUUAAAUCUUAUAAUUCUUGUACACGAGUAACAAAAAAAAGGCCUCCCAGAAUAUCAGAUAUCUUAAUCAGUGUUUAAUUUAAGCGAACACAUAACAUGCUUCCAUGAAGUGUAAUAUGCUGAAAAUAAACAGAGCCUCAGUUUUCAUUGAAGGAAAAGAGUGGGAAUUCAGUGAAAAUGGACCUGGUUGAAUGCCCGAGCAAUUUCUGUUUGAACAUGGUUCUUUGUGACCGACCGGGCCCGGCUUUACUUCUCUUCAGUAUCCUCCUCACUCGAGCUCUUGUUCUUGCGGCGUAUUCUUAUCACAGAAUCACCCCAAUCAUUGGUGCCAAAUGGAAAUUCCCUCGACUCUGCCCUUCAUAGAAAAAUCUGUUACGUCCAAUAAU